UAAGGAAUAUUGGUCAAUGGACGCAAGUCUGAACCAGCCAUGCCGCGUGAAGGAUGAAGGUCCUCUGGAUUGUAAACUUCUUUUAUCUGGGACGAAAACGGGAUUUUUAUCUCAAUUGACGGUACCAGAGGAAUAAGCACCGGCUAACUCCGUGCCAGCAGCCGCGGUAAUACGGAGGGUGCGAGCGUUAUCCGGAUUUACUGGGUUUAAAGGGUGCGUAGGUGGGCUUAUAAGUCAGUGGUGAAAUCUCCGAGCUUAACUUGGAAACUGCCGUUGAUACUAUAGGUCUUGAAUUAUCUGGAGGUAAGCGGAAUAUGUCAUGUAGCGGUGAAAUGCUUAGAUAUGACAUAGAACACAAAUUGCGAAGGCAGCUUACUACAUAUAAAUUGACGCUGAGGCACGAAAGCGUGGGGAU
rnacentral:rRNA from 1 species